UGGGGAAUAUUGGACAAUGGGGGCAACCCUGAUCCAGCAAUGCCGCGUGUGUGAAGAAGGCCUUCGGGUUGUAAAGCACUUUUAUCGGGAACGAAACAUUGUCGGCCAAUACCCGGCAAGACUGACGGUACCCGAGGAAUAAGCACCGGCUAACUCCGUGCCAGCAGCCGCGGUAAUACGGAGGGUGCAAGCGUUAAUCGGAAUUACUGGGCGUAAAGCGUGCGCAGGCGGUUUGUUAAGUCUGCUGUGAAAUCCCCGAGCUCAACUUGGGAAUUGCAGUGGAUACUGGCAAGCUGGAGUACGGUAGAGGGGGGUGGAAUUCCACGUGUAGCAGUGAAAUGCGUAGAGAUGUGGAGGAACACCGAUGGCGAAGGCAGCCCCCUGAGCCUGUACUGACGCUCAUGCACGAAAGCGUGGGGAGCAAACA
rnacentral:rRNA from 1 species